GGUGAAAAUCUAACCCAUUGAGCCUUUUUUCGAUGGCCUUAUUCUGCCUAGUUCACAUAUUUUCCUCCAAAAGCUACUCAGACGGUUUACUUUGGGUUGGGCUGCCUGUGGCUUUUAUUCAAGAUGGCGGCUCGUGGAGUGGCAGUACGAGAAUCUAAACAACCAAAGGAAAUUUAUCAAGAUGCUUUAGACAACGUCUCUGCUUUCAAUGCACGUCUUUGUUUCGAGCGCAAGAUGCGAGCUCCCUUUCUGGACGCCCAGACUGGAAUAGCCAUGAAUAACUGUAGUUUGUGGCUUAGUAGAUUCAUGAGGAGAGAGCCCAAGACACCUCAGUAUAUUUAUACAUACCCAGAGAAACGCUGGAGGAAGAGAAAACGAAUCUACCAUCCCGAGAAUGAUGAAGAAGAGGGCAGCCAUGUUGAAAAUGAAGUAGAGGGUAGUUCUUGCCCAGGUGAGCCAGACAGUGAACAGACAAGUGAAGUCCCAGAAAGUUCUGCCCAAGAUGUCGUUAAAGAUGAUGUAAUAGAGCAAGAAGUUGUGCCAUUAGAUUCUAGUGAUCUGGAAGAAGACAUUGAAGAGUCAACUGUGGUUUCUGAUGACGAAGAAUAUGAAGCAUACAAGAGAAAAAAACCUGGAAGACCAGGAAGAAAAAAGGGAGUAGCUGUUGGUGCCUCUGCCAUUAAACAUUUUCCACGUGCUGCAAUGAUGUCUAGUUCAGGAUCCUUGACUGUCAGAAAUAUAACCAAGGAAGAACUGGCCAGAAUGAACCCAGAUGAUCGCAAGAAACCUUAUGUUUGUGAAAUAUGUGGAAGACGUUACAAGAAUGGCCCAGGCCUCAAGUAUCACUACACCCAUUAUAACCAUGAUCUUGAUAACAACCCCUCGCAAGAGGAAUCUCACCCCUCCAUGCCGACAACUCCAGCUUCAAGCAUGAUUGCGGUGGAGUCACCAAAUCCCCCUUCACCUGCAGUAAAGGUGGCACGCAAGAUGGAUGGACCACGACUGCAUACUGCCACACCUAAUAGUUACUGUGACUUCUGUUUGGGCGAUAGACUUCACAACAAGAAGACAGGAGCAUCAGAGGAACUGCUGUCAUGUGCUGACUGUGGUAGAUCAGUUGAUGAAAGGCAAAACAUUAUGGGUGGCGUAGUGGUUUGCCGCUAGCCUCUCACCACUAUGGUUCAGGUUCAAGCCCCAGCUCAGACUGGUUUAUAUGGCAUCCAUCCUGUCUGCAGUUUACUGCAAGACUAACUGAAAAUGUCAAGAAAUAUCAUUGGCAGUGCAUAGAGUGCAAGUCAUGUAGCCUUUGUGGCACUUCUGACAAUGAUGAUCAGCUGUUGUUCUGUGAUGACUGUG
rnacentral:misc_RNA from 1 species